UAAAUUUUAACAUUUCCAAUUAUAGCAUAAAUCUCAAACUACAACAUUUUGUUUGUUUAUAGGAACGUAAAAGAAAAAAUACAAGGUAAAAGAAAACUAGCGCAUAAACUUUGGACAUAUAGUAUAAUACAAACUUUAUCUGUAACAAAUGUCAAGUUAGACAGACACCCUAUGAUAGAUGUAAUAAUCUGAAAUUUUUAAAUGAAGAAUUAGAUUUAAAUUUGUUUUAAGAGGAACCAAAACUCUGUAAGCUACCACAUUGACAUUAGAAAACCCCACUUUUACAAACCUCAAGCCAUUUUCCAUACUUUCAUUCUCUCUCUAGAAAAAUCCAACUCCCAUCCUCUGCAUUCUCUCUAACCUCAAGCUUCAUUGCUCCAGAAAAUCUUCAAUUGGAUGGCACCUCAGUGAUUGCGACUCAAAGAGCUCCAUUUUCAACCGAUUAGUUUUCCCUUUCUCCGCCGGUCUGUAGGUUUUUCUAGAAAUUCCGUGAAGUGCAAGCUUGAACCGGAUUUAGUUGGCCUAUAUGGUGAAAUUCCCAGGUAAGGGAAGCUAGGUUAUGAUUAUGUGUUGUGUGAUGUAUAUGCAUGAAUUGUGGCAUGUGGAUGUUGUAAAAUAAUGCAUGUGUAAGUUGUAUAUUGUGGAGUAUUGUGUUUGAGCUUAAAUUAGGUGAUUUUGUGUAUGAGAGUAUGAAAUCCUUGUUUUCUAAAAUGUAUAAAGUUGUGAAUGGAUGCAUAUGAAGUGAAUUGUAUAAGGUAGGGUACUGGAUUGAGUAUUAGAAGAGAUGAAAAUUGUUAUACAUGUUAAUAGAGUUCAAGUUAGGUGGAUUAUGUUGUUUUUAGGUCGUCUUAAAGGAAGUGAGAGGGUGAUUUCGAGAAUUAUGGGUUAAAGGUCGAAUUAGGCUCUUAGAAUGGUUUACUUAAGUCAAAAGUGACUUGUUAGGAGUGUUAGAGUGAUCAAAUAUACUCUCCAAAUGGUAAAUUUACUUUUGAGUCCAUAGGUUGAUGAAAAUGAGGUUUUGAAUUAGAAAUCCUUGCAUAAUCAUUGGAGAAUGAUGUUAGGAAGACUUAAAGUUACUUAGACAAGUUUAAUUUCAUCUAUACUUCGAAUUAGAACUGUUAGAA